GCUCUCUCAGAUACUGAAAUGAGCUCCUAUAUUCUUGCUGGCUUAGGAACUGAAUACGACCCAUUUGUCACUUCUAUCACCACUCGGGUGGACCCUCUUUCUCUUGAUGAACUAUAUGGGCAUCUCCUUGCUCAUGAGC